UAGGUUUAGGGCACUGGAAGGUCCCUAAACCGAAAGGGGCUCUGCCCGCCCGAGGAUGGGCCGGCGGCCGAUUAGGUAGUUGGUGGGGUAAUGGCCCACCAAGCCCAUAAUCGGUACGGGCAGUGAGAGCUGGAGCCCGGAGAUGGACACUGAGACACGGGUCCAGGCCCUACGGGGCGCAGCAGGCGCGAAACCUCCGCAAUGCUCGAAAGAGCGACGGGGGGACCCCAAGUGCCGUGGUACAACCACGGCUUUUCCGGAGUGUAAGAAGCUCCGGGAAUAAGGGCUGGGCAAGGCCGGUGGCAGCCGCCGCGGUAAUACCGGCGGCCCGAGUGGUGGCCACUAUUAUUGGGCCUAAAGCGUCCGUAGCCGGGCUUGUAAGUCCCUGGCGAAAUCCCACGGCUCAACCGUGGGGCUUGCUGGGGAUACUGCAAGCCUUGGGACCGGGAGAGGCCGGGGGUACUCCUGGGGUAGGGGUGAAAUCCUAUAAUCCCAGGAGGACCGCCAGUGGCGAAGGCGCCCGGCUGGAACGGGUCCGACGGUGAGGGACGAAGGCCAGGGGAGCAAACCGGAUUAGAUACCCGGGUAGUCCUGGCUGUAAAGGAUGCGGGCUAGGUGUUGCUUGGACCUCGAGUCCAAGCAGUGCCGC
rnacentral:rRNA from 1 species